UACAAAUAUACAUUCAAAAAAAUUAAAAAAAGAUGAGAUGUGGUAUGAUUGCCAAUACUAAUUAUAAAUAGAGCUUUCUUACAAUUUGACGAAAGGUACGUACGCUUGACGAAUCAUACGUUAGACUCGUUUUAAGGGAUCCUUUAUUUUGACAUAUUUAUGUAAUCUUAAUUGAAGCGUCAUGGAACUUCGAUGGUGUUUCAUAAUAGUGUUUGCAAGCCCCCCAAAAAAAUCUCUAUACUAAUGUACCAUUGUUUGUAAAAUAAAAAUACCACCAGGGGGAAGGAGAUUCAUAACUCUACAAAAUUUCCUAAAUAUAGGCUCGUCAGGAAACAAAAUUCUAUAAACAAAAGAAAGGUCCACAAUUAUUAGAUGAAACAAAUAAACGACGUGUAAAAGAAUGUUCAGAUCAACUGAAGAUAAUGAAUAUUAUUAAUAAAAUCUGCGGAAUACUAAGGCAACGACCAUUAACUUUGAAAUGGGGAGGGGGGGGCUAAAUAUUUGUUCCGUUUCACUUUUGUUUUCUGCGAUCGCAAGAGUCUCAUUUUUUUUUUAGAUAUAUAAGAGUAAUAUUAAUAGAAAAAAACUUCAUCGCAAAAUCUUUUUUCCACAGAUUUAGUUCACACUACUUCAAAACAUCGCAGAAUCCUUGUCUUGCAAAUCACGAUGAUCCGCGUUGACAAUUUGAUGAUGGCAUACUCAUUUAAAAUAAGUGUGAAUCUUGUCGUUAAAUUUAGAGUAUCAUACUUGAAUAAUUUCAUUAAAAUGUUAAUUUUGAAAACAAUUCCCGCGCAAAUGUGUGUAAUCGUGGUAAACAAUAGUAACGUAUCGGACAUAAGUGUAUUUGAAUUUUUUUCUUUAAUUCAGAUAUCAAAAACGUGUUUUAUUUGCAAUAUGC